CCACACUGGGACUGAGACACGGCCCAGACUCCUGCGGGAGGCAGCAGUGGGGAAUAUUGCGCAAUGGGCGAAAGCCUGACGCAGCGACGCCGCGUGGGGGAUGACGGCCUUCGGGUUGUAAACCUCUUUUACCACCAACGCAGGCUCGGGGUUUUCUCCGGGUUGACGGUAGGUGGGGAAUAAGGACCGGCUAACUACGUGCCAGCAGCCGCGGUAAUACGUAGGGUCCGAGCGUUGUCCGGAAUUAUUGGGCGUAAAGAGCUCGUAGGCGGCGUGUCGCGUCUGCUGUGAAAGACCGGGGCUUAACUCCGGUUCUGCAGUGGAUACGGGCAUGCUUGAGGUAGGUAGGGGAGACUGGAAUUCCUGGUGUAGCGGUGAAAUGCGCAGAUAUCAGGAGGAACACCGGUGGCGAAGGCGGGUCUCUGGGCCUUACCUGACGCUGAGGAGCGAAAGCAUGGGGAGCGAACAGGAUUAGAUACCCUGGUAGUCCAUGCCGUAAACGUUGGGCGCUAGGUGUGGGGACUUUCCACGGUUUCCGCGCCGUAGCUAACGCAUUAAGCGCCCCGCCUGGGGAGUACGGCCGCAAGGCUAAAACUCAAGGAAUUGACGGGGGCCCGCACAAGCGGCGGAAGCAUGUUGCCUUAAUUCGACUCAACGCAAGAACCUUACCAAGGUUUGACAUCACCCGUGACCUGCAGAAGAUGUGGGGUCAUUUGGUUGGGCGGGUGACAGGUGGUGCAUGCUGUCGUCCAGCUUCCGUGUCGUGGAGAUGUUGGGUUAACCGCCAGCCAACCCUUGUUCCACGUUUCCAUCACGUGAUUGCACUCAUGGGACACUGCCGGGGUCAACGGGAGGAAGGUGGGGAUGACGU
rnacentral:rRNA from 1 species